CCUACGGGAGGCAGCAGUGGGGAAUAUUGCACAAUGGGGGAAACCCUGAUGCAGCGACGCCGCGUGAGUGAAGAAGUAAUUCGUUAUGUAAAGCUCUAUCAGCAGGGAAGAAAAUGACGGUACCUGAGUAAGAAGCCCCUGCUAACUACGUGCCAGCAGCCGCGGUAAUACGUAGGGGGCAAGCGUUAUCCGGAUUUACUGGGUGGAAAGGGAGCGUAGACGGCAGUGCAAGUCUGGAGUGAAAGGCGGGGGCUCAACCCCCGGACUGCUCUGGAAACUGUACGGCUGGAGUGCAGGAGAGGUGAGUGGAAUUCCUAGUGUAGCGGUGAAAUGCGUAGAUAUUAGGAGGAACACCAGUGGCGAAGGCGACUUACUGGACUGUAACUGACGUUGAGGCUCGAAAGCGUGGGGAGCAAACAGGAUUAGAUACCCCAGUAGUC
rnacentral:rRNA from 1 species